rnacentral:rRNA from 1 species
GGGAAACUUACCAGGUCCAGACAUUGUUAGGAUUGACAGAUUGAGAGCUCUUUCUUGAUUCGAUGGGUGGUGGUGCAUGGCCGUUCUUAGUUGGUGGAGUGAUUUGUCUGGUUAAUUCCGUUAACGAACGAGACCGUAGCCUGCUAAAUAGUUCCGCGAACUUCUUGUUGGCGGUCGACUUCUUAGAGGGACAACUUGUGACCAACAAGUGGAAGUUUGCGGCAAUAA